ACACAAGAGGAAGGGGGACAUUAGCCUCCAGCAGACUCCAUCCCCAUUGCGCAACCCCGACUGGCCCCAGACCCGGCAUGGAAGGUUUGGGUCUGAGGAGUCCCACCCCACAGCCAGGUGACGCCCCAGCCCCUCCGAGCCCUCGCCCGCCCUGUGGAAACAGCACGGCCUGUGGCCAAAGGCUUCCGGCCAUAGGGCACCUGACACCAAGGCACGACACACAGAGGCCAGCCUUGCAGGACCCGCUGCUGCCCUCGCUGUGGGCCUCUGAGCCCUUCUCAGGACCUUCAGGACCUGUAGAAAGGUGGGGGGUGUGGGGGUGGCCUCGCCAGCCUGCCCUGGAGCAAUUCCUUCAGCUUCCAAGAUGCUGCAGGCUCAAAUGGAGCUCUCACAAACACAGCCAGGGCACAGCCCACCCCAGGGUCGGGGUCCGGGGAGCCCCCUCCUCUACACAGUGGGGAAACAGACUCCUGAACUUGCCAAGUCAGCAUCUGGGAUCCUUCCAGUCCACUUCGCCUGAUCACCCAGGAACUUCUCACAAGCUAUGUGUGCCCACAGCAUAUGCUGCAGCACACCAAUAAAAGGAUGCUUGGGAGCCCCCUAUUCAGCCCUGGACCAGGCCUAGGGCCCAGCAGAGCCACUGGCCCAGCCACAGGCAGGAGCAGGAGGGCUCCCUGGAACACCAGCUGGGAAGCAGUGACCAAGUAAACUCCAGAGACCCUUCCGGCUCCCUCACUCUGACAGAGCUAGGACAAGAACGCACCAAUGACUAUGGACCCACGUGUGGGGUCUCCCUCUGGGUGGAGUCGGGUGGGGGGUACCCACUGUCCCAUGUGGAACACGUGGUACCCCCUGCAUCUGAUGCCUUGCAAAGGACAAGCAGCUACCAUCCUCAUUUUCCAGGUGCAGAGGCCACAAGGAACAAAGUGUCCCCACCACCAGCAGAGCUGACAGCCCCAGCCUUGGAGAGAAGCUGGCAGAGACUCAGAAAGAAGACGCCAUUCCCAGUCACACCACUCUCCUGAAGGCUCUCCGCAGCGCAAUCCUCAGCACGGCCACAGGGCCCCUGCUCACCACAGCACCCCCAUGGGACUGUGCUCCCGGGGAUGGCCCUGAGCCAGGGGGAGGACCCAGCCACUGUGUGUGACCAACAGCCCAAGAUGGGCACUAACUUGUUCUCUGCCCUUCGCUGCCACAGAACCAUUCAGGAGGUGGGUGCACUUUCAGCCCACCCGCCUCCCCCUGCUGGUUCCCACAGGGUGAGCGAGGAGCUCCCAGCACUUCCCUCUCCAUGAGCCCACAAUCGGAGGAGGGAUGGGCUGGAACCCAAGUCCACAGCUGCCCCGUCAGCCUCAGCACCUUCGCUGGGUGACCCUUCUCCUGUCUGAGCAGUCCGCCCCCUCAGAUACAACUGGGGUUUCACACCCACUUCCCAGUAAGGGUUAAAGACAGUGAUCAGGCUGGCAGGUGGCAUCCGGAGAAGGGAUGCAGACAGGCCAUCCCACAGGUCGCCAGCAAUGCCCUGCCUGCCCAUAGCCAGCACCUCACCUCAGAACCCACAGGCUACCAUCCCCCACAUCGGGCCACCUGUAGGCACAGACAGGUGGCCACACACCCACGGCCCCAGACCAAGGGGCUGCC
rnacentral:lncRNA from 1 species